GGUACAGGGUGAUAGUCCCGUACACAAAAACACACUGGCUGUGAACUCGAUGAGUAGGGCGGGACACGUGACAUCCUGUCUGAAUAUGGGGGGACCAUCCUCCAAGGCUAAAUACUCCUGACUGACCGAUAGUGAACCAGUACCGUGAGGGAAAGGCGAAAAGAACCCCGGCGAGGGGAGUGAAAUAGAACCUGAAACCGUGUACGUACAAGCAGUGGGAGCACCUUCGUGGUGUGACUGCGUACCUUUUGUAUAAUGGGUCAGCGACUUAUAUUUUGUAGCAAGGUUAACCGAAUAGGGGAGCCGUAGGGAAACCGAGUCUUAACUGGGCGUCUAGUUGCAAGGUAUAGACCCGAAACCCGGUGAUCUAGCCAUGGGCAGGUUGAAGGUUGGGUAACACUAACUGGAGGACCGAACCGACUAAUGUUGAAAAAUUAGCGGAUGACUUGUGGCUGGGGGUGAAAGGCCAAUCAAACCGGGAGAUAGCUGGUUCUCCCCGAAAGCUAUUUAGGUAGCGCCUCGUGAACUCAUCUUCGGGGGUAGAGCACUGUUUCGGCUAGGGGUCCAUCCCGGAUUACCAAACCGAUGCAAACUCCGAAUACCGAAGAAUGUUAUCACGGGAGACACACGGCGGGUGCUAACGUCCGUCGUGAAGAGGGAAACAACCCAGACCGCCAGCUAAGGUCCCAAAGUCAUGGUUAAGUGGGAAACGAUGUGGGAAGGCAUAGACAGCCAGGAUGUUGGCUUAGAAGCAGCCAUCAUUUAAAG
rnacentral:rRNA from 1 species